AUGUGGUUUAUGCAUAAGGGGGUGAUCUUGACCAAAGACAACUUGAAAUAUAGUUGGGAGGGGAGUAAACGGUGUUGUUUUUGUAAUCAGGAUGAAAUGAUACAACAUUUAUUUCUCUCAUGCCCGCUAGCCAGGUUACUCUGGCGUACGGUUUAUAUAUAA
rnacentral:rRNA from 1 species